AACGAACGCUGGCGGCAUGCCUAACACAUGCAAGUCGAACGAGACCUUCGGGUCUAGUGGCGCACGGGUGCGUAACGCGUGGGAACCUGCCCUUAGGUUCGGAAUAACUCCCCGAAAGGGGUGCUAAUACCGGAUAAUGUCUUCGGACCAAAGAUUUAUCGCCUUUGGAUGGGCCCGCGUUGGAUUAGCUAGUUGGUAGGGUAAAAGCCUACCAAGGCGACGAUCCAUAGCUGGUCUGAGAGGACGAUCAGCCACACUGGGACUGAGACACGGCCCAGACUCCUACGGGAGGCAGCAGUGGGGAAUAUUGGACAAUGGGCGAAAGCCUGAUCCAGCAAUGCCGCGUGAGUGAUGAAGGCCUUAGGGUUGUAAAGCUCUUUUACCCGGGAUGAUAAUGACAGUACCGGGAGAAUAAGCUCCGGCUAACUCCGUG
rnacentral:rRNA from 1 species